rnacentral:rRNA from 1 species
CAAUAGCGUAUAUUAAAGUUGUUGCAGUUAAAAAGCUCGUAGUUGGAUUUGUGGCGUACGGUGUGUUCCGGGCACUUGUUGUCUGAGUAACCUGCUGUUGCCAUCCUUGGGUGGAACCUGUGUGGCAUUAGGUUGUCGUGCAAGGGAUGCCCAUCAUUUACUGUGAAAAAAUUAGAGUGUUCAAAGCAGGCUUAUGCCGUUGAAUAUAUUAGCAUGGAAUAAUGAGAUAGGACUUUUUUGCUAUUUUGUUGGUUUGCGCAAAGAGGUAAUGAUUAAUAGGGACAGUUGGGGGUAUUCGUAUUCCAUUGUCAGAGGUGAGAUUCUUGGAUUUUUGGAAGACGAACUACUGCGAAAGCAUUUACCAAGGAUGUUUUCAUUAA